GAUGAACGCUGGCGGCGUGCUUAACACAUGCAAGUCGAACGGUGAAGCAGAGCUUGCUCUGUGGAUCAGUGGCGAACGGGUGAGUAACACGUGAGCAACCUGCCCCGGACUCUGGGAUAAGCGCUGGAAACGGCGUCUAAUACCGGAUACGAGACAAGACGGCAUCGUCAUUGUCUGGAAAGAUUUUUUGGUCUGGGAUGGGCUCGCGGCCUAUCAGCUUGUUGGUGAGGUAAUGGCUCACCAAGGCGUCGACGGGUAGCCGGCCUGAGAGGGUGACCGGCCACACUGGGACUGAGACACGGCCCAGACUCCUACGGGAGGCAGCAGUGGGGAAUAUUGCACAAUGGGCGAAAGCCUGAUGCAGCAACGCCGCGUGAGGGAUGACGGCCUUCGGGUUGUAAACCUCUUUUAGCAGGGAAGAAGCGAAAGUGACKGUACCUGCAGAAAAAGCGCCGGCUAACUACGUGCCAGCAGCCGCGGUAAUACGUAGGGCGCAAGCGUUAUCCGGAAUUAUUGGGCGUAAAGAGCUCGUAGGCGGUUUGUCGCGUCUGCUGUGAAAUCCCGAGGCUCAACCUCGGGCCUGCAGUGGGUACGGGCAGACUAGAGUGCGGUAGGGGAGAUUGGAAUUCCUGGUGUAGCGGUGGAAUGCGCAGAUAUCAGGAGGAACACCGAUGGCGAAGGCAGAUCUCUGGGCCGUAACUGACGCUGAGGAGCGAAAGGGUGGGGAGCAAACAGGCUUAGAUACCCUGGUAGUCCACCCCGUAAACGUUGGGAACUAGUUGUGGGGUCCAUUCCACGGAUUCCGUGACGCAGCUAACGCAUUAAGUUCCCCGCCUGGGGAGUACGGCCGCAAGGCUAAAACUCAAAGGAAUUGACGGGGACCCGCACAAGCGGCGGAGCAUGCGGAUUAAUUCGAUGCAACGCGAAUAACCUUACCAAGGCUUGACAUAUACGAGAACACUUCAGAAAUGAAGGACUCUUUGGACACUCGUAUACAGGUGGUGCAUGGUUGUCGUCAGCUCGUGUCGUGAGAUGUUGGGUUAAGUCCCGCAACGAGCGCAACCCUCGUUCUAUGUUGCCAGCACGUAAUGGUGGGAACU
rnacentral:rRNA from 1 species